GAUGAACGCUGGCUGUGUGCCUAAUACAUGCAUGUCGAACGAAGCACUUGUGCUUAGUGGCGAAUGGGUGAGUAACACGUACUUAAUCUACCUCUAGGUUUGGGACAACAAUUGGAAACGAUUGCUAAUACCGAAUAUCCUUUUUAUCGCAUGUGAUGUUAAGGUAACGUCCGUUGGUCGCCAAGAGAUGAGAGUGCGGUACAUUAGUUAGUUGGUAGGGUAAAG
rnacentral:rRNA from 1 species